GAACAUCUUACGCGAAAAACUCACAGCAGAAAGCAUCACGAGAACUCCCCAAACGGUUUUGCAUUUUCUGGAGAGGGAGGUUAAACUAUGGAAAUUAUUAGCAAUUUUUCUCAAUCAGAUGAGCCACUGCUACAUUCCUCUCCAACUUGUUGUUGCUAUACUAAGGUAAUUUUGUUUAAGAUAUUUCCAUCUUUUUUAUACCAGCGUUUCUUAUUAAUACUUGAGCUUUUUUCUAUUGAACUGAAGAUGUUUUGUCUGUAGCCGGCUUGAUUUUUGAGAAUAGACGUCUCAGUCAUUUUCAGGGGAUUUUCCGUUCUUUGAACAACCAUAGGCAUUAUUGUUUGCUGAAGAUUCUUUUAAUAAUGGUUUCUAUUUCUGGCUUUGAUUUUAGAUUUUAGCUUUCUCCAGUCCUGCCUAGGACUUUCAUGUUUUCAGUAAAGUCUCGUCAUUUUUCCUUAAUUGGGAGAGGCACUCACUGCUGUGACUGUAAAGCCUAUUUGCUGAAGGAAGUGCUGAAGUUGCAGUUAUGCAGUUCAAUGAUGUUCAGUUGAUUGUUUCCCUCGUUUACUAUAUUUUAUAUAUAGUGGAUAUAUGUUUAUUCAUUUAUUUAUUUCAGAUGGUAUAUGAUCUUCCUGCUGAUGUUGUUUUUUAGAAUAAAAUUUUAGACCUUAGUAGAUUUUUGGUCUUCUUUUAUAAAUACAAAAAUUUAAAGGCCACUUAUGUUUUCAUCUAUUUUAUCUCUUCCACAAUCAUAUAGGCUGGAUUACGACGAACAUGAGAUGCAAUAAAUGUUACUUUUGGUUCAUCCUUUAGUUGAAUACUACUCAAGGUUUAGCCUAAUGUGUUUGUUACAUUUUUGUGGUGGCAUGUGUUUUCAGACACGAGGCUAUUGGUUCAUGCCCCAGAUUCCACUUUGCUAAUUUCAUCCUCAAAAUUUCAAUUGUUAUGGAAGACAGACUUUAUCCAGUUUCAUGUUGAAUGAAAUUACUAUGACCUGCCAUUAACUUGUAAUGAUUGGCGAUUAAAGCGCUUCUAGAACUUGUUAUUAAACAUCUGAUCAGAUUCAUGUCUUUGAAAAAUUACUCUUUUUUAAGUUAUAGUCGAAAAGUACUUUUCUAGAAGUUAUACAACUCCUACACAGGUACCUAGUCUUAUAUUCUCACUGAUAAAUGCAAGCAUGUCAAAAGAUGAAACUUCUAUAUGUACUCACUACUCAGUGAGUACUACUCACCAAGUUGUCUCCUCGUUUCCUUACUUCAUGGUUUAAACCUUUAGGCUCAUAUUCAAUUUUGUGAUCGCUAGAGAAUCAUUAUCUGCUUAAUGUGAUUAGUCCAGCAGGUUAUUUUAUUUUCAUUAUGUCUUCCUGCAUCAAGGUGUACAAAAGUUUAGACACUUAUGUUUGGUUACCAUUUUCUCAUUGCUGUCCUAAUUUCCAAGACAAUUUGAUCUCAUCUUCUUUGCUGUUGGAUCGACUAUGCUUUGUUUGUUUAACUUGUUUAACAUUUCAGUUGGUUUUAGGAGGUCUUUUCCUUUGGCAUAUUGAGUACAUUCCUCGUAGGAAUUGUCUUCAUCUAUAGUAUUAGCAUCUGAUCCUCGAAAUGAAAGGGUUUUGAGAGGCUUCUAUGAAGUGACUGGUACACUUGCCAAUUGUCUGGUAUAGUGAUCCGAUGACUUGUGUUGGGGAUGCAUUGAUUUUCAUAGGUUGUGCAUGCAUGAAUGAAUAGGUCUCUAUCUUUUUCUUAAUUCCAGUCUGUUAAUAUAACAAAAAUUGCAAUUGCCUGCAUUUUCACAAAUAAUGUAGUCGAUUAACUUCUUGAUGUGAAAUUAUUCAUUCUUGGAUCUAUUUUUGAAAUUAUUUGAACUGCUACAUGUACAACACUAUGCCUUAAUAAGCAAGGUUAGGACUCAAUUUCCUUACUCAUCACUUCAAUAACAAAUUCAAGUGGUUAGUUAUUAGCUUGAGAUGUAUAUUUAUUCAUUAAAUUACACAAAUUCAAAACUCUUCGACUCCUUUGGAUAUGGAGAUCCUGAUUCUUGCAUGCUUGUGUUUUUGUCUACGAAGCAUUAAUGAUGUUUUGAUACUUCUAUUAAUUGAUUAAUUCACACAUGCAUUCAUAUUUGUUUCCAGCAGGACUUGCACAUGCGAGAUUGAUUCUUUGAUCAAGUAGUUGGAGAGAUUCUUUUGAUAGAUGACAAUGAGAGCAAUGUCAUGUUAAAUUGUGUCCAUCUCAUCUAAAUGUUUAAGUUGUUAGUUUGGUUCAAAUUCCAACCGUGAUAAAAAGAGUUAGGUGAUUUAUUCCCAUCCGUCUAAACUUUGGUGGAUAGAGUCAUCUAAUAACCAGUAAUCCAUGCUGGUGGAAGUUAGCAGGUAUUCGAUGAUUAGUCGACAUGCACGCAAAUUGGCCCGGGCACCAAUUUUAUUUAUAAGAAGUUUAAGAUGUUAAAGGAGGGAAACUUUUUUUUAUUUGUUUACAUCUGCAACUGUUACGUACUUGAUAAAUUUGAAGUAUGGUGAUCGAACUACUAUGUUACGUACUGAAGCAUUCUCCCAGCCUUCUUGGCGCUUGUUUAAAAUAAUAGAUAUUUGUUUUAUUUAUUAUAUAUUGUUUUGCAAUACAGAUGAGCUGAUGUAUAAUAGAGAUUGUUGUACUCAACACUCUAUAUUUACAUAUUCUAGAUUAGAUGAUAGUUUAGGCAUCUCCUUGUACUUGUUUUAUCCAUAACUGAUUUAGUAAAUUUCUAAUGUUCGAUGCUUUUAAAUUACUUGCUAGCUUUUGAAUAUUAAAACUGUACAAGUAUGCUGACAGCCUGUUUGAAUAGAUUGGAAUAUGUAUCUGAGAGCUUCUUCUGUUUUCAAAAUGUUCGUUAAGGAAUUAUUCUUGGAAAUUGGCAAAUCUCAUGUAGUUAGAUCAUAUCCUUAUCUUUUGUUGCCGGACAUGGUUGAUAUGAUUAGGAGCAAUGAAUGCCAUCUUGACUCCAUUUAUUUUGUUUUCUUUCUUUUUGACUUUGAUAUUACUUGCAAUUCUCUGAUUCAAUACUCUAGUUUAGAAAAUGUUGCCAAUGGGGUCAAUUUUAAAGCUUUAUGGAACUUUAUCUAUUUUAUUGGAAGCAGGUAGUAUAUUUGGAAGACUGCCCUCCAAAAAAGUAGUCUUCUUUGCAUGAUAUGCUGAUUGGAUACUAACUUGAGAAAGGAAGCGCCAUCAUGAGUUGGUAUUGUAUGUGCAAGCAGGGUGAAGGAAGACACUAACGUGAGCUCGGAUCGGACUAUAGAGUUUAAGGUGUUUCCUAUUUAAUUCUUAAACAGUUGCAGAGAUCCUGUUGAGAGGUUGAGAAUGGUGAGUGAGGAGGAAAAUGUGAAGGCUAGCGCCUUAAUGCAUUUUUUAAAUAAUACAUUGAUAUGACGAGGUUCUCAUUGCAUCUAUCAAGCUGGUCUGGAAAGUGCAUUUUUGCUAGGCAGAAGCCAAGGCUUGACUUCGAAGAAGCGACUAGACUAGGAUUACCUGGGGCCACAAUACUGCUUAAUGGAGGAUGGAUCUGAUGAUUUCAGCAUUGCUUAUGCAAUAUUCAUGUGAUUUUGUGUAUGCACAGCCAUGGAAACCUACAAUGAUAUGCAUCUGUUUUCAAGAGUUGUUUUCAGUCUUUCAGAACUGGAUAAUGAUGAGGAAUUAGGUAAACACAAUGGAAUGUGCUAGGGCUGUAGCAAACACUUCCCGAUAAUAUUUCCGAAGCCAAAAUUGGUUAUUGUGGUUGUUAAUGGAAAUAACAAAAUUCAUGUAGGAUUUGCA
rnacentral:lncRNA from 1 species